rnacentral:lncRNA from 1 species
UUUUUCUCAUAAUUCACGCCCCAAAGAUAGGUUCUUUUAGUUACUACAUAUUUUAGUUUUUUCUGCUUACUGUCAUGUCCACUUUCUUGUCUGAUUAAGCAACUAAUAUAUGAAUAUCUGUGCACAGUUCUACCAUUUUUGCACUCACUUAUGGGGCCAUCUAUGUUGAGUUUGUUCUGCUAUUCUCCAACUUAAAUCAAGAAUGCAGUCUCAUGUCAUUGUCUUUGCUAAUACAGAUUGUAAUGCAAUCCAAUUGUAGUGUCAUGUUUCAGCUCCUUUUAUUUUAAUCGUGAUGUGCAUGGUUGUUCAUGUUCUCUUCUUGCCAUGCACUAAUCGAAGUGUACAUGUAGAUGCUCAAAAUUGCUUAUCAUCAAAUUACUUGACUUAUGUACUGCUUGGACUUGUUUAAUUAAAGAGACGUCUCUUUAAAUUGACUAUAUUUACUUUGUCACACAUCAUUUGGGUCUUUUGCAUUGCCGAGAGUUGUUACCCGAAAGUUCAUACAUUGUAUAAUUUCUUGUUAUCCUUCUGUGCAUGGAGCCAUCUUCUGGGUAGUACAAUCCAGGUCGACCAUGUUGAGAUAAUCAUCAUUUUAAUUAUGACAGCUUACCAAGUUUAAUAUUUCAGUUCUCCGAAACAUAAUCUGAUUAUGACAGCUUAUCAAAUUUAAUAUUCUGCACAUGGUGAACUUCAUCAAAUUAGGAUACGGAUACCUACUUGUUUUAUCAUUCUAUCAGCAACCUAAGCUCUUACUGUAAGAUAUUAAACCCAUUUGUA